AAUAGCAGCCAUAUCACCCUGCAGCCCAAGACCGGUUACUCACUGAAGCUAAGCAGGGCUGAGCCUGGUCAGAACCUGGAUGGGAGACCACAUGGGAAAAACUAGAUUGCUGUUGGAA
rnacentral:rRNA from 1 species